rnacentral:rRNA from 1 species
AUUGAACGCUGGCGGCAUGCUUUACACAUGCAAGUCGAACGGCAGCACGAAAGAGCUUGCUCUUUUGGUGGCGAGUGGCGAACGGGUGAGUAAUGCAUCGGAACGUACCGAGUAAUGGGGGAUAACUGUCCGAAAGGAUAGCUAAUACCGCAUACGCUUUGAGAAGGAAAGUGGGGGCUCUUCGGACCUCACGUUAUUCGAGCGGCCGAUGUCUGAUUAGCUAGUUGGUGGGGUAAAGGCCUACCAAGGCGACGAUCAGUAGCGGGUCUGAGAGGAUGAUACGCCACACUGGGACUGAGACACGGCCCAGACUCCUACGGGAGGCAGCAGUGGGGAAUUUUGGACAAUGGGCGCAAGCCUGAUCCAGCCAUGCCGCGUGUCUGAAGAAGGCCUUCGGGUUGUAAAGGACUUUUGUUAGGGAAGAAAAGGAUAGUGUUAAUACCAUUAUCUGCUGACGGUACCUAAAGAAUAAGCACCGGCUAACUACGUG